AUUAUAUUAGUUUAAAUAAAAAUCCCAUUUUGUGAAAGUGGGGAUUCAAAGUUAGAAUAUAAUA
rnacentral:tRNA from 1 species